rnacentral:rRNA from 1 species
AGAGCGAACGCUGGCGGCAGGCCUAACACAUGCAAGUCGAGCGCCCCGCAAGGGGAGCGGCAGACGGGAGAGUAACACGUGGGAACGUACCCUUCAGUUCGGAACAACCCAGGGAAACUUGGGCUAAUACCGAAUACGUCCGUAAGGAGAAAGAUUUAUCGCUGAAGGAUCGGCCCGCGUCUGAUUAGCUUGUUGGUGAGGUAACGGCUCACCAAGGCGACGAUCAGUAGCUGGUCUGAGAGGAUGAUCAGCCUCACUGGGACUGAGACACGGCCCAGACUCCUACGGGAGGCAGCAGUGGGGAAUAUUGGACAAUGGGCGCAAGCCUGAUCCAGCCAUGCCGCGUGGGUGAUGAAGGCCCUAGGGUUGUAAAGCCCGUUUCGGCGGGGAAGAUAAUGACGGUACCCGCAGAAGAAGCCCCGGCUAACUUCGUGCCAGCAGCCGC